rnacentral:rRNA from 1 species
AGUGAACGCUGGCGGUAGGCCUAACACAUGCAAGUCGAACGGCAGCACAGUAAGAGCUUGCUCUUACGGGUGGCGAGUGGCGGACGGGUGAGGAAUACAUCGGAAUCUACUUUUUCGUGGGGGAUAACGUAGGGAAACUUACGCUAAUACCGCAUACGACCUACGGGUGAAAGCAGGGGCUCUUCGGACCUUGCGCGAUUGAAUGAGCCGAUGUCGGAUUAGCUAGUUGGCGGGGUAAAGGCCCACCAAGGCGACGAUCCGUAGCUGGUCUGAGAGGAUGAUCAGCCACACUGGAACUGAGACACGGUCCAGACUCCUACGGGAGGCAGCAGUGGGGAAUAUUGGACAAUGGGCGCAAGCCUGCUCCAGCCCUACCGCGUGGGUGAAGAAGGCCUUCGGGUUGUAAAGCCCUUUUGUUGGGAAAGAAAAGCAGCAGGUUAAUACCCCGCUGUUCUGACGGUACCCAAAGAAUAAGCACCGGCUAACUUCGUG